rnacentral:rRNA from 1 species
AGUGAGAAUGUUGGCAUGAGUAGCGAGAUGUGGGUGAGAAUCCCACAGGCCGUAAACCCAAGGUUUCCAGGGGAAGGUUCGUCCGCCCUGGGUUAGUCAGGACCUAAGCCGAGGCCGAAAGGCGUAGGUGAUGGACAACAGGUUGAUAUUCCUGUACCACCAAUAACCGUUUGAGAAAUGGGAUGACACAGUAGGAUAAGCUAACCGCACUGUUGGUUAUGUGCGGGCAAGUAUUGAGGCAGUUCCGAUAGGCAAAUCCGUCGGAAUAAUGCUGGGGUACGAUGCGGAGCGAAAUUUAGUAGCGAAGUAGCUGAUUUCACACUGUCGAGAAAAGUCUCUAUCGAGGUUAAAGGUGCCUGUACCGCAAACCGACACAGGUGGGUGAGGAGAGUAUCCUAAGGCCAGCGAGAGAACUGUUGUUAAGGAACUCGGCAAAAUGACCCCGUAACUUAGGGAGAAGGGGUGCCUUCGAAAGAAGGCCGCAGAGAAUAGGCCCAAGCGACUGUUUACCAAAAACAUAGGUUUCUGCUAAGUCGCAAGACGAUGUAUAGGAGCUGACGCCUGCCCGGUGCUGGAAGGUUAAGGGGAUCUGUUAGAGCAAUCGAAGCAGUGAACUUAAGCCCCAGUAAACGGCGGCCGUAACUAUAACGGUCCUAAGGUAGCGAAAUUCCUUGUCGGGUAAGUUCCGACCCGCACGAAAGGCGUAACGAUUUGGGCACUGUCUCAACAACAGACUCGGUGAAAUUGUAAUACCGGUGAAGAUGCCGGUUACCUGCGACAGGACGGAAAGACCCCAUGGAGCUUUACUGUAGCUUGACAUUGAGUCUCGGUGCUACAUGUACAGGAUAGGUGGGAGACUAUGAAGCAUGGACGUCAGUCUGUGUGGAGUCAUCCUUGGGAUACCACCCUUGUAGUACUGGGAUUCUAACCAGAGGCCAUGAAUCUGGUCUUGGGACACUGUCAGGUGGACAGUUUGACUGGGGCGGUCGCCUCCCAAAAAGUAACGGAGGCGCUCAAAGGUUCUCUCAGUACGGUCGGAAAUCGUACGAAGAGUGUAAAGGCAAAAGAGAGCUUGAUUGCAAGACAUACAGGUCGAGCAAGGACGAAAGUCGGACUUAGUGAUCCGGUGGUUCCGCAUGGAAGGGCCAUCGCUCAACGGAUAAAAGCUACCCUGGGGAUAACAGGCU